rnacentral:rRNA from 1 species
CUACGGGCCGCUCCAGUGAGGAAUAUUGCACAAUGGGGGGAACCCUGAUGCAGCAACGCCGCGUGGAGGAUGACGCAUUUCGGUGUGUAAACUCCUUUUAUAUGUCAAGAAAAUGACGGUAGCAUAUGAAUAAGCACCGGCUAACUCCGUGCCAGCAGCCGCGGUAAUACGGAGGGUGCAAGCGUUACUCGGAAUCACUGGGCAUAAAGGGCGCGUAGGCGGGUUGGAAAGUCAGGUGUGAAAUCCUACAGCUUAACUGUAGAACUGCACUUGAAACUUCUAAUCUAGAGUAUGGGAGGGGGAGAUGGAAUUAGUGGUGUAGGGGUAAAAUCCGUAGAUAUCACUAGGAAUACCUAAAGCGAAGGCGAUCUCCUGGAACAUUACUGACGCUAAGGCGUGAAAGCGUGGGGAGCAAACAGGAUUAGAUACCCGUGUAGUC